GUGGGAGCUGGCUUGCCUGCGAUAGCGGUCUGUCAGCCAGCCCAGUGAUAUCUGGCCCACCGCUAUCGCAGGCAAGCCAGCUCCCAC
rnacentral:antisense_RNA from 1 species